rnacentral:rRNA from 1 species
AGAGUUUGAUCAUGGCUCAGAGUGAACGCUGGCGGUGUGCUUAACACAUGCAAGUCGAACGAGAACGGUACUAGCUUGCUAGUAUGUCAGCUAAGUGGCGGACGGGUGAGUAAUGUAUAGUUAAUCUGCCCUUUAGAGAGGAAUAACUACUGGAAACGGCAGCUAAUACCUCAUACUCCUUUUGCCUUAAUGGUGAUUGGGAAACGUUUUUUCGCUAAAGGAUGAGACUAUAUGGUAUCAGGUAGUUGGUGGGGUAAGAGCCUACCAAGCCAAUGACGCCUAGCUGGUCUGAGAGGAUGAUCAGCCACACUGGAACCGAGACACGGUCCAGACUCCUACGGGAGGCAGCAGUGGGGAAUAUUGCACAAUGGAGGAAACUCUGAUGCAGCAACACCGCGUGGAGGAUGACACAUUUCGGUGCGUAAACUCCUUUUAUAUGGGAAGAUAAUGACGGUACCAUAUGAAUAAGCACCGGCUAACUCCGUGCCAGCAGCCGCGGUAAUACGGAGGGUGCAAGCGUUACUCGGAAUCACUGGGCGUAAAGCGCGCGCAGGCGGCCAUUUAAGUUGGAUGUGAAAGCCUACGGCUCAA